rnacentral:rRNA from 1 species
GACGAACGCUGGCGGCGUGCUUAACACAUGCAAGUCGAACGGUGAAGCUCCAGCUUGCUGGAGUGGAUCAGUGGCGAACGGGUGAGUAACACGUGAGCAACCUGCCCCUGACUCUGGAAUAAGCGCUGGAAACGGCGUCUAAUACUGGAUACGAGAAGGGUCCGCAUGGGCACUUUCUGGAAAGUUUUUCAGUUGGGGAUGGGCUCGCGGCCUAUCAGCUUGUUGGUGAGGUAAUGGCUCACCAAGGCGACGACGGGUAGCCGGCCUGAGAGGGCGACCGGCCACACUGGGACUGAGACACGGCCCAGACUCCUACGGGAGGCAGCAGUGGGGAAUAUUGCACAAUGGGCGAAAGCCUGAUGCAGCGACGCCGCGUGAGGGAUGACGGCCUUCGGGUUGUAAACCUCUUUCAGCAGGGAAGAAGCGAAAGUGACGGUACCUGCAGAAGAAGCACCGGCUAACUACGUG